UACGGAGGGAGCUAGCGUUGUUCGGAAUUACUGGGCGUAAAGCGCGCGUAGGCGGCUUUGCAAGUUAGAGGUGAAAGCCCGGAGCUCAACUCCGGAACUGCCUUUAAAACUGCAUAGCUUGAAUCCGGGAGAGGUGAGUGGAAUUCCGAGUGUAGAGGUGAAAUUCGUAGAUAUUCGGAAGAACACCAGUGGCGAAGGCGGCUCACUGGACCGGUAUUGACGCUGAGGUGCGAAAGCGUGGGGAGCAAACAGG
rnacentral:rRNA from 2 species